rnacentral:rRNA from 1 species
UUGAACGCUGGCGGCAGGCCUAACACAUGCAAGUCGAGCGGAUGAAGGGAGCUUGCUCCUGGAUUCAGCGGCGGACGGGUGAGUAAUGCCUAGGAAUCUGCCUGGUAGUGGGGGAUAACGUCCGGAAACGGGCGCUAAUACCGCAUACGUCCUGAGGGAGAAAGUGGGGGAUCUUCGGACCUCACGCCAUCAGAUGAGCCUAGGUCGGAUUAGCUAGUUGGUGGGGUAAAGGCCUACCAAGGCGACGAUCCGUAACUGGUCUGAGAGGAUGAUCAGUCACACUGGAACUGAGACACGGUCCAGACUCCUACGGGAGGCAGCAGUGGGGAAUAUUGGACAAUGGGCGAAAGCCUGAUCCAGCCAUGCCGCGUGUGUGAAGAAGGUCUUCGGAUUGUAAAGCACUUUAAGUUGGGAGGAAGGGCAGUAAGUUAAUACCUUGCUGUUUUGACGUUACCAACAGAAUAAGCACCGGCUAACUUCGUG